rnacentral:lncRNA from 1 species
UGGCCACCGCGCUGGGGGCGAGAGGAGGGCAGAGAUGUGGACCCACACAGAGGCCACGCCGGGGCUGAGCAAGGACGGCCCCGGAUAGGGCGGGCUUAGAGAGGGGCACGGAGGCUGGACCCUGGCCUUGAAGGAGCCCCUGCAAGGUGGGGGCUGCACUGGGGUUGUGGCAGGGGAACAUGUGGACCACAGAAAGCAUCACACCUGGGCUGGUGCUGGACAUCCCCAGCACCAACCACACCUUCUCAUCGCCAGGGCCUCCUGUUCAGGCUGCUUGGACUCUCAAGCUCUGUCUGCUUUGUUCCUACUUGGCAGAACUGGGCGCCUCUCAGCACUCACUUGGAGACGUGGGGUCGGAACUCUGGUGGCCUGGUGCCUCUCCCAGCCAGCACAGGACCUGGAUGAAUGAACACACACCCUUCCUUUCCCAGGCUCUGCCGUGUCUUCUGUCAAAGCAUCAGAAAUCAGGGGCUUUGGCAGGACAACUGAAAUGGUAUAGCGGCUGCAGCAAAGCCUGGAGUCCAACUUACGUCCACGUCUCACAAGGUACAUCUUCAUAACAUGUGCCACUCCUGGCUCUUUUAUUUUCCUGCCACUCACUUUUUCUUAUUUUUAACAGAUAUUCCUUGCAACGUUGCUUGCAUAUUUGUUAAGUGGCCACUAAAUCCCUUCUGGAACUAGGCAGGGAGAAAAUCAGUCGAUUGACCGAUACAAGACAGAAUGAAGUGAUAAUCGCUACCUUUCACUGAGUGCUUUCUAUGUGCCAGGGACAAUCCUAGACAUUUUUUAUUUUUUUAGAUGGAGUUUUGCUCAUGUCACCCAGGCUGGA